GACGAACGCUGGCGGCGUGCUUAACACAUGCAAGUCGAACGAUGAACCCGGAGCUUGCUCCGGCGGAUUAGUGGCGAACGGGUGAGUAACACGUGAGUAACCUGCCCUUGACUCUGGGAUAACUUCGGGAAACUGUAGCUAAUACCGGAUACGACCCUCGGCGGCAUCGCCAGGGGGUGGAAAGAAUUUCGGUCAAGGAUAGACUCGCGGCCUAUCAGCUAGUUGGUGAGGUAACGGCUCAACAAGGCGACGACGGGUAGCCGGCCUGAGAGGGUGGCCGGCCCCACUGGGACUGAGACACGGCCCAGACUCCUACGGGAGGCAGCAGUGGGGAAUAUUGCACAAUGGGCGCAAGCCUGAUGCAGCAACGCCGCGUGAGGGAUGACGGCCUUCGGGUUGUAAACCUCUUUUAGUAGGGAAGAAGCGAAAGUGACGGUACCUGCAGAAAAAGCACCGGCUAACUACGUGCCAGCAGCCGCCGUAA
rnacentral:rRNA from 1 species